GUAUAAGAGACAGCAGUCGCCACGGUAAUACAGAGGGUGCGAGCGUUAAUCGGAUUUACUGGGCGUAAAGCGUGCGUAGGCGGCUUCUUAAGUCGGAUGUGAAAUCCCUGAGCUUAACUUAGGAAUUGCAUUCGAUACUGGGAAGCUAGAGUAUGGGAGAGGAUGGUAGAAUUCCAGGUGUAGCGGUGAAAUGCGUAGAGAUCUGGAGGAAUACCGAUGGCGAAGGCAGCCAUCUGGCCUAAUACUGACGCUGAGGUACGAAAGCAUGGGGAGCAAACAGGAUUAGAUACCCCGGUAGUCCCUGUCUCUUAUAC
rnacentral:rRNA from 1 species